GACGAACGCUGGCGGCGUGCUUAACACAUGCAAGUCGAACGGAAAGGCCCUGCUUUUGUGGGGUGCUCGAGUGGCGAACGGGUGAGUAACACGUGAGUAACCUGCCCUUUACUUUGGGAUAACUUCAGGAAACUUUGGCUAAUACCGGAUAGGAGCUCCUGCUUCAUGGUGGUUGUUGGACAGUUUCGGCGGUUGGUGAUGGACUCGCGGCUUAUCAGCUUGUUGGUGGGGUAGUGGCUUACCAAGGCUUUGACGGUUAGCCGUCCCGCGAGGGUGACCGGGCACCUCGGGAUUGAGAUACGCCAAGGACCCCUACGGCAGGCAGCAGUGGGGCAUAUUGACCCAUGGGCGGAAGCAUGCCGGACGCACGCCGCGUGCGGGAUGACGGCCUUCGGGUUGUAACCCGCUUUGGCAUGUGACGAAGCGUGAGCGACGGUCCUGGGUAAAGAAGCCCCGGCUACCUCCGUG
rnacentral:rRNA from 1 species